rnacentral:rRNA from 1 species
GACGAACGCUGGCGGCGUGCUUAACACAUGCAAGUCGAACGGGCCUUGUCCCCUUUUUUUUGGGGGUGGGGUUAGUGGCGAACGGGUGAGUAACACGUGAGUAACCUGCCCCUCACUUCUGGAUAACCGCUUGAAAGGGUGGCUAAUACGGGGUGUUCUGGCCUGCUCGCAUGGGUGGGUUUGGAAAGAUUCGACCGGUUUUGGUUGUUUUGGUGGGGGAUGGGCUCGCGGCCUAUCAGCUUGUUGGUGGGGUGAUGGCCUGCCAAGGCUUUGACGGGUAGGCGGGCUGGGAGGGUUGGCCGUCCAACUGGGAAUGAGGCACGGCCCAGACUCCUACGGGAGGCCGCCGUGGGGAAUAAUUGACCAUGGGCGCAAGCCUGAUGCAGCGACGCCGCGUGAGGGAUGGAGGCCUUCGGGUUGUGAACCUCUUUCGCCAGUGAAGAAGGUCCUGCUCUUUGUGGUGGGGUUGACGGUAGCUGGGUUAAUGAAGCGCCGGCUAACUACGU